GAUGAAGAACGCAGCGAAAUGCGAUAAGUAAUGUGAAUUACAGAAUUCAGUGAAUCAUCGAAUCUUUGAACGCACAUUGCGCCCCCUGGUAUUCCGGGGGGCAUGCCUGUUCGAGCGUCAUUUCACCACUCAAGCCUCGCUUGGUAUUGGGCAUCGCGGUCCGCCGCGCGCCUCAAAUCGACCGGCUGGGUCUUCUGUCCCCUAAGCGUUGUGGAAACUAUUCGCUAAAGGGUGUUCGGGAGGCUACGCCGUAAAACAACCCCAUUUCUAAGGUUGACCUCGGAUCAGGUAGGGAUACCCGCUGAACUUAAGCAUAUCAAUAAGCGGAGGA
rnacentral:misc_RNA from 1 species